CACGAACCGGGCAAACGUUAUUCGGAAUUACUGGGCUUAAAGGGUGCGUAGGCGGCGCUAUAAGUCGGGUGUGAAAUCCCACGGCUCAACCGUGGAACUGCGCCCGAUACUGUAGUGCUUGAGGAAGAUAGAGGUGAGCGGAACGAAUGGUGGAGCGGUGAAAUGCGUUGAUAUCAUUCGGAACACCCGUGGCGAAAGCGGCUCACUGGUCCGUCUCUGACGCUGAGGUGCGAAAGCUAGGGUAGCGAACGGG
rnacentral:rRNA from 1 species